UAUCAUAUAGCUGCCGAAGACAGUAGGUGCCGUAAGGCAUAAGUUGAACACGCCUACCGAGGAAAUAUAAGAUAUUCUUAGAUGAACUUAUAGAACCUUUUCUGUCUUUUUCAGUAAGGUUCUUUUUU
rnacentral:sRNA from 1 species